rnacentral:rRNA from 1 species
CCAAUAAGCGGAGGAAAAGAAACCAACAGGUAUUGCCUUAGUAACGGCGAGUGAAGCGGCAAAAGCUCAAAUUUGAAAUCUGGCACCUUCGGUGUCCGAGUUGUAAUUUGAAGAAGGUAACUUUGGGAUUGGCUCUUGUCUAAGUUCCUUGGAACAGGACGUCACAGAGGGUGAGAAUCCCGUGCGAUGAGAUGACCAAUCCUAUGUAAAGUGCUUUCGAAGAGUCGAGUUGUUUGGGAAUGCAGCUCUAAGUGGGUGGUAAAUUCCAUCUAAAGCUAAAUAUUGGCGAGAGACCGAUAGCGAACAAGUACAGUGAUGGAAAGAUGAAAAGAACUUUGAAAAGAGAGUGAAAAAGUACGUGAAAUUGUUGAAAGGGAAGGGCUUGAGAUCAGACUUGGUAUUUUGCAUUCCUUACCUUCGUGGUGGGGUUCCUUGCAGUUUACUGGGCCAGCAUCGGUUUGGAUGGUGGGAUAAUGACAUUGGAAUGUGGCUCUGCUUCGGUAGAGUGUUAUAGCCAGUGUUGAUACCGCCUGUCUAGACCGAGGACUGCGUCUGACUAGGAUGCUGCAAAGUCA